UCCGGUUGAUCCUGCCGGAGGUCACCGCUAUUGGAAUUCGCUUAAGCCAUGCGAGUCGAGAGGGUUCGGCCUUCGGCACACUGCUCAGUAACACGUGGACAAUCUGCCCUCAGGUGGGGGAUAACCUCGAGAAAUUGAGAAUAAUACCCCAUAGGGCCUGUAUGCUGGAACGCUUCAGGUCUCAAAGCUGCGGCGCCUGAGGAUGAGUCUGCGGCUCAUCAGGUUGUAGUGAGUGUAACGGACUCACUAGCCGACAACGAGUACGGGCCUUGGAAGAGGUUGCCCGGAGAUGGACUCUGAGACACGAGUCCAGGCCCUACGGGGCGCAGCAGGCGCGAAAACUUCGCAAUGUGGGAAACCACGACGAGGGAAUUCCAAGUGCUCAUGGUUUUCCAUGGGCUGUUUUCCUGCCUAAAUAGCAGGGAGAGUAAGGGCUGGGUAAGACGGGUGCCAGCCGCCGCGGUAAUACCCGCAGCCCGAGUGGUGAUCGUUUUUAUUGGGCCUAAAGCGUCCGUAGCCGGUUAAGUAAAUCCUUGGGUAAAUCGGGCAGCUUAACUGUCCGAAUUCCGGGGAGACUGCUAAACUUGGGACUGGGAGGGGUCGGAGGUACUCCGGGGGUAGAGGUGAAAUUCUGUAAUCCCUGGGGGACCACCAGUGGCGAAGGCGUCCGACUUGAACGGGUCCGACGGUGAGGGACGAAGCCCUGGGGCACAAACCGGAUUAGAUACCCGGGUAGUCCAGGGUGUAAACGCUGCGGGCUUGGUGUUGGGGUCCUACGUGGGCGCUCAGUGCCGGAGAGAAGUUGUUAAGCCCGCCGCCUGGGGAGUACGGUCGCAAGACUGAAACUUAAAGGAAUUGGCGGGGGAGCACCGCAACGGGUGGAGCGUGCGGUUUAAUUGGAUCAACGCCGAAAAACUCACCGGGGGCGACUGUUAGAUGAAGGCCAGGCUGAUGACCUUACCUGAUUUUCAGAGAGGUGGUGCAUGGCCGCCGUCAGUUCGUACCGCAAGGCGUUCUGUUAAGUCAGAUAACGAACGAGAUCCCCGCCCUUAAUUGCCAUCCUGUCCUCCGGGACAGAGGAACAUUAAGGGGACCGCUGGCGCUAAGUCAGAGGAAGGUGGGGGCAACGGUAGGUCCGUACGCCCCGAAUCCCCCGGGCAACACGCGCGCUACAAAGGACGGGACAAUGGGCCCCUACACCGAAAGGUGACGGUAAUCCCGAAACCCGUUCAUAGUCCGGAUUGAGGGCUGUAACCCGCUCUCAUGAAGUUGGAAUCCGUAGUAAUCGCGGGUCAACAUCCCGCGGUGAAUAUGCCCCUGCUCCUUGCACACACCGCCCGUCAAACCAUCUGAGUUGGGUUGAAGUGAGGGCACCUCAUUUUGUGGUGUUCGAACUUUGGUUCAGCAAGGAGGGUUAAGUCGUAACAAGGUA
rnacentral:rRNA from 1 species